UCCGAGUUGUCCCCGGCAGUCCCCUUAGAGUCCCCGGCAUUACCCGCUGGCAACUAAGGGCAGGGGUUGCGCUCGUUGCGGCACUUAAGCCAACACCUCACGGCACGAGCUGACGACAGCCAUGCAGCACCUGUGCUAGCCCCUUACGGACACCGGCUUUCACCGGCUUUAACUAGCAUGUCAAGCCUAGGUAAGGUUCUUCGCGUUGCAUCGAAUUAAGCCACAUGCUCCGCCGCUUGUGCGGGUCCCCGUCAAUUCCUUUGAGUUUUAGCCUUGCGGCCGUACUCCCCAGGCGGAUGACUUAACGCGUUAGCUGCGCCACCGGAACGCUAUGCGCCCCGACAGCUAGUCAUCAUCGUUUACGGCGUGGACUAC
rnacentral:misc_RNA from 1 species